AUGUUACAUGUUCAUACAAGAAAAUUUUCAAAAUGAUCCUCCGACUAUGGCAUUUUUUCAAAUUGGUCAUUUGACUUUUAAUUGCACCCAAAG